UUGACGGGGGCCCGCACAAGCGGUGGAGCAUGUGGUUUAAUUCGAAGCAACGCGAAGAACCUUACCAGGUCUUGACAUCCUUUGACCACUCUAGAGAUAGAGCUUCCCCUUCGGGGGGCAAAGUGACAGGUGGUGCAUGGUUGUCGUCAGCUCGUGUCGUGAGAUGUUGGGUUAAGUCCCGCAACGAGCGCAACCCUUAUUGUUAGUUGCCAUCAUUCAGUUGGGCACUCUAGCAAGACUGCCGGUGACAAACCGGAGGAAGGUGGGGAUGACGUCAAAUCAUCAUGCCCCUUAUGACCUGGGCUACACACGUGCUACAAUGGGAAGUACAACGAGUUGCGAAGUCGCGAGGCUAAGCUAAUCUCUUAAAGCUUCUCUCAGUUCGGAUUGCAGGCUGCAACUCGCCUGCAUGAAGCCGGAAUCGCUAGUAAUCGCGGAUCAGCACGCCGCGGUGAAUACGUUCCCGGGCCUUGUACACACCGCCCGUCACACCACGAGAGUUUGUAACACCCGAAGUCGGUGAGGUAACCUUUUUGGAGCCAGCCGCCUAAGGUGGGAUAGAUGAUUGGGGUGAAGUCGUAACAAGGUAGCCGUAUCGGAAGGUGCGGCUG
rnacentral:rRNA from 1 species